rnacentral:rRNA from 1 species
UGCGAGCGUUGUCCGGAAUUACUGGGCGUAAAGAGCUCGUAGGUGGUUUGUCGCGUCGUUUGUGUAAGUCCAUGGCUUAACUGUGGGACUGCAGGCGAUACGGGCAUAACUUGAGUGCUGUAGGGGAGACUGGAAUUCCUGGUGUAGCGGUGAAAUGCGCAGAUAUCAGGAGGAACACCGAUGGCGAAGGCAGGUCUCUGGGCAGUAACUGACGCUGAGGAGCGAAAGCAUGGGUAGCGAACAGGAUUAGAUACCCUGGUAGUCCAUGCCGUAAACGGUGGGCGCUAGGUGUGAGCCUCUUCCACGGGGUUCGUGCCGUAGCUAACGCAUUAAGCGCCCCGCCUGGGGAGUACGGCCGCAAGGCUAAAACUCAAAGGAAUUGACGGGGGCCCGCACAAGCGGCGGAGCAUGUGGAUUAAUUCGAUGCAACGCGAAGAACCUUACCUGGGCUUGACAUGCACUGGAUCGGGCCAGAGAUGGUCUUUCCCUUUGUGGCUGGUGUGCAGGUGGUGCAUGGUUGUCGUCAGCUCGUGUCGUGAGAUGU